rnacentral:misc_RNA from 1 species
AAGUCGUAACAAGGUCUCCGUAGGUGAACCUGCGGAGGGAUCAUUAAAACACGUAUCCACGUAUCAACCUUUUGUGAACUGUUUUUAACCUCCAUUUUUAACGCUUGAACUUUUAACUGUAAACUGUUAUGUGUCUUAACACGUCACAUAAUAACAAAUAAUAACCAAUUGAUAUCACAACUCUUAGCAACGGAUAUCUUGGCUCUC